ACAAUUUAUUGUUGGGUGUGACGCUAAUGCUCAUCACACAGUAUGGGGUAGCGCUAACAUUAACAAUAGAGGUGAUAAUUUGCUCGAUUACAUAACAACUAACAAUAUUGACAUUUGUAACAAUGGUGAUAAUCCCACUUUUGUUACAACAACAAGACAGGAGGUUCUUGACCUCACGUUUUGUAGCGAAGUUAUUUCUGAAAGAGUUAUAAAUUGGAAGGUUUCUGAUGAAAUAUCACUCUCAGACCAUAAACAAAUUGAAUUCGAAUACAAUGCAGGUGAAAUGAUAGUUGGAAGUUAUAGAAAUCCCAAGAAAACCAAUUGGGACUCCUAUAAACUUCUUCUAAAUGACUACGAUUUCAAUUCCGAAGCCGAAAUCCGUACUGUUGAUCAGUUGGAGAAGGCUUCGUCUGAAUUAAUUAUUGCUAUAACCAAUUCUUACUCCGCUAGUUGUCCAGUUCAGCACAGAUCUUCAAAUCGUGAGGUAUCUUGGUGGAAUGAAAAAUUAGCUGCGUUAAGGAAAAAAUCUAGAAGGUUGUUCAACAGAGCAAAAAAAAUCUGGAGAUUGGGACUCAUAUAAAAAAGCCCUGACUGAAUACAAUUAAGAAAUAAAACGUUCUAAAUGCAACGACUGGAGACGUUCGUGUGAAAAAAUCGAGGAAACUCCAAUAGUCGCAAGAUUACAAAAAGCUCUUUCCAAAGAUCAUUCAAACGGUCUAGGAAAUCUUAAAAAGGCAGAUGGGUGUUUUACAAAAAAUGCAUCCGAAACUCUGAAUUUAAUGAUGGAAUCUCACUUUCCUGGCUCGACCAAGGUAAUAAGUUGUAUAGAUCAGGCCGUGGGCGAAAGACUGACAAAAGAUUGGUUUGUACUUGCCCAUAAUCAAGCCUGUGAAAUAUUUACUCGUUUCAAGGUUGACUGGGCGGUGAGCUCUUUCAAACCAAUUAAAUCCGCAGGGAUGGAUGGCAUCUUUCCUGCUCUUCUCCAGCAGGGUAAAGAUAUUAUCAAUGCUAAAUUAACAGACAUUUUUCGAGCCAGUAUCGCUCUUAGCUAUAUCCCAAAAGCUUGGAGAGAGGUACGGGUCAUAUUUAUUCCAAAAGUUGGGAAAAGGGACAAAACAAGUCCAAAAUUCUUCCGUCCAAUUAGUCUCUCUUCUAUUCUAUCCAGAUUUUUAAGCGAAAAUGGCGUUCGAAUGAUAAACGCCCGAAAUGUCAAAAUCACGCAGUGGUGCCAACAUUACGAAAAAAGUGUGCCAUGUAUGACAUCUACAUUUUAUUUUCUAAUGUUGGUGCUACUGCGCGAUUUUGACAUUUGGGACGUUCACCAUUCGAACGCCAUCUUUGCUUAAAAACCUGGAUAAAAUUCUUGAUGAUUUUGUAAAAAAAACGUUCAUGAUUAAAUUUCCUCUUAGUAAUAGCCAAUUUGCAUACCAAAGUGGUAAAUCUAAAUCUGCUUUAAACUGUUUAGUUUCUAAAAUUGAGAAGUCCCUCAAAGCCAAGGAAGUAGCUCUGGCUGCUUUCCUAGACAUUGAAGGAGCUUUUGAUAAUGCAUCUCACAGCUCUAUGCGUUCCGCCAUGGAAUCAAGGGGCUUUGGCUCAUGGAUUAUCAAAUGAAUUGUAACAAUGCUUAUUGAAAGGGAGAUAUCUGCCUACCUUGGAGGAGAACAAUUGGUAAUCAGACCACGGAGGGGAUGUCCACAAGGUGGAGUUCUAUCACCUCUGCUAUGGUCAUUAGUAGUCGACGAUCUUCUGAAAAAGUUGGCGAGUCUCGGCUUUGAACUGAUCAGCUAUGCGGAUGACAUCUGUAUAAUAGUUCGGGGAAAAAUAGGUAGCGAAAUUUGUAACCGAAUGCAAUCGGCCUUGAAUUUUUAUCUCAAAAUGGGGGUCUUGGUAUAAAUCCCUCUAAAACAGUUAUAAUACCGUUCACAAGACGAAGGACACUAGCACUACCUAAUCUUGCUAUUCGUGGGACAACCAUUGAGUAUUCUAACGAAGUGAAAUAUCUUGGUAUUACUUUAGAUAGGAAACUUAAUUGGAAUGCUCACCUGAAUAAUGUAUUAAACAAAGGAAUUAAUUCUCUAUGGCUGAGUAAAAAAACUUUUGGAAAAAAGUGGGGUCUCCGCCCUAAAAUGAUUUAUAGGAUAAAUACAUGUAUCGAGGUUUUUAAGCGAAGAUGUCGUUCGAAUAGUGAACGCCCGAAAUGUCAAAAUCACGCAGUGGUACCAACAUUACGGAACAAGUGUGCCAUGACAUGACAGCCAUAUUUUUUUUCUAAUGUUGGUGCUACUGCGCGAUUUUGACAUUUCGGGUGUUCACCAUUCGAACGCCAUCUUCGCUUAAAAACCUGGAUAGUUAGAACAAGAAUUACGUAUGCGUCACUUGUGUGGUGGCCAAAAGUUGAAGAAACAAUUGCACAAAAUAAAUUAGCUUAGCUGCAAAGAUUAGCCACCAUUUCAAUAACUGGAGCUAAGCAUGAAUGAUGAAGAUUUGACAGGGCACCUAAAAGUCCUUAAAAACUUGACCUUGAAUCCGGCGUUAAACUCAAUAGUAGACUGGAUGCCGACAAAGGCUAACUAUGACAUUCCGUUCACAGUGGACGCUAAAAGUCGCUACACACAAAAAAAUAUUACGGUAAUGACAAAAGUAACUUACUUUUGAAUUAAAAAGUUGUUAAAAUUUGCUACAUUAAAAGUCUUUUUCUUGUUUUGAAAAUGAAAACAUUUAAUGCUACAGUUUUUGAAAAUCUCAUUGCUCACUGAUUUAAAAGUUUUUACUUUUAAUUCGACUGUAAAAUUUCAUUCAUUUUGACGUUCUCGUGUAACCGUGUACGCCUUAGUCGCAAAUGUAAACAAACACUUUGGUGGUGCUGGUGAGUCUAGGACGCAAAGCAAAGCCGACCGUGGCAGCAGCCAGGAUUCGGAAGCGGAAACCUUCGUGAGCCAAACAGCAGCAGCGGAACGCCUUCGAAGGAGGGUAGUGCAGGAGCGGGACGAGGUCGAGUGCUCGGAAAGGACAAAACCAGCUUCCUGCAGGAACUGCAGCUGUUCCACGGCCGGAAUGCGAUGAGAGGUAGGAAUGUGGAUUCGCACCGGUUGUAUUGGGUGGUGGUGGCCCGGGAUUGAAGGUCAAUUCGCGGGAGGACUGGGGCGAGAUCAUCGAGGAGAUGGCGCUGCCGAAGCGUUGCGUGAACAACGAGAUUUCGUUGAAGAAGAUUAACUUCUGGUUUUGGACAAGUUCGCGAAAGUUUAUUUUCACGAUGGGCCUCCGACGAAGAGGAGGACGACGAAAAGCUACAUAUUGUCCGUUUCUCUCGAAGGUAUACGCCGCGCGGCAUUUCAGAAUGUGCCGCAGACACUGUUGCCAGCGAUUUUCUGCACUUUUGGUCCAAUAAAAACAUUCCCGGCAACAAUGCCAUGCAAUUCGAAGAAGAAGAUUAAUAAAAACAAAACGCAUAGUAUAAAGCUAUCUAAGCCCGAUCUCACAACCACUAACACACCAUUUGUUUUGCUGGCUGGUACAAAAUUUAACCUCACUUUUUUCGUGUACGUACACGCAAUACAUGCGCACGUAGAUAACUCUAUGGGAUUUGACAGCGCGCAUUUGCCGAAAGUGCGGCGCGUCGUUUCGAGGCUGGUAUGCCGCGUGUCUUUUUCGGGAAUACGCGCAAUAAUUGGAGGUGGUCAGUGCAGAUGUUGCACUCGGUGCCGGUGGUUUAAAGCACCGGUGAGUAUUGAGAAUGUGUGCAGUGGCUAGCCAACUUCACUUACUUUCCAUCUCUUAUAGCAAUUUCCCGCCCACAAACACUCACGUCGCGACGGCGCAGCUUCAGCCGAAUGAAUCUGGACAGUGAGCCAAAAAAAAUCUGUGUCAUUCUCGAAGUAGGAUUACGUGCUCAAAAUCGAACUCCGUUCCGAGGGCCUCAUCAACUCCAUGUUCCGGAUGCACUUCCAGCAUCAGGAACUCCCCGUUCAGGCACUUUACUUUCCAGCCGGGAAACGUCGACCAUCCUUCCCGAAUCAAUGGCCAACUCCUCCAAGACUGUCCUGAUUGAGGCCGGAAACGUGACCAUCGUGUUAAACUGCUGUCGCGCUUCGAAGCCUCCAUCCGGAACUGUCCAGCCUGGGGUAUUCGGAAGUGACCGGUGGCGUACCGUAUGAAACAGAAGCUAGUGGAGAAGCAAAAUCAAAUAUAAAAAAAAAUCAAACCAUC